rnacentral:rRNA from 1 species
CUAUACAUGCAAGUCGAGCGAACGGACGAGAAGCUUGCUUCUCUGAUGUUAGCGGCGGACGGGUGAGUAACACGUGGAUAACCUACCUAUAAGACUGGGAUAACUUCGGGAAACCGGAGCUAAUACCGGAUAAUAUUUUGAACCGCAUGGUUCAAAAGUGAAAGACGGUCUUGCUGUCACUUAUAGAUGGAUCCGCGCUGCAUUAGCUAGUUGGUAAGGUAACGGCUUACCAAGGCAACGAUGCAUAGCCGACCUGAGAGGGUGAUCGGCCACACUGGAACUGAGACACGGUCCAGACUCCUACGGGAGGCAGCAGUAGGGAAUCUUCCGCAAUGGGCGAAAGCCUGACGGAGCAACGCCGCGUGAGUGAUGAAGGUCUUCGGAUCGUAAAACUCUGUUAUUAGGGAAGAACAUAUGUGUAAGUAACUGUGCACAUCUUGACGGUACCUAAUCAGAAAGCCACGGCUAACUACGUGCCAGCAGCCGCGGUAAUACGUAGGUGGCAAGCGUUAUCCGGAAUUAUUGGGCGUAAAGCGCGCGUAGGCGGUUUUUUAAGUCUGAUGUGAAAGCCCACGGCUCAACCGUGGAGGGUCAUUGGAAACUGGAAAACUUGAGUGCAGAAGAGGAAAGUGGAAUUCCAUGUGUAGCGGUGAAAUGCGCAGAGAUAUGGAGGAACACCAGUGGCGAAGGCGACUUUCUGGUCUGUAACUGACGCUGAUGUGCGAAAGCGUGGGGAUCAAACAGGAUUAGAUACCCUGGUAGUCCACGCCGUAAACGAUGAGUGCUAAGUGUUAGGGGGUUUCCGCCCCUUAGUGCUGCAGCUAACGCAUUAAGCACUCCGCCUGGGGAGUACGACCGCAAGGUUGAAACUCAAAGGAAUUGACGGGGACCCGCACAAGCGGUGGAGCAUGUGGUUUAAUUCGAAGCAACGCGAAGAACCUUACCAAAUCUUGACAUCCUUUGACAACUCUAGAGAUAGAGCCUUCCCCUUCGGGGGACAAAGUGACAGGUGGUGCAUGGUUGUCGUCAGCUCGUGUCGUGAGAUGUUGGGUUAAGUCCCGCAACGAGCGCAACCCUUAAGCUUAGUUGCCAUCAUUAAGUUGGGCACUCUAAGUUGACUGCCGGUGACAAACCGGAGGAAGGUGGGGAUGACGUCAAAUCAUCAUGCCCCUUAUGAUUUGGGCUACACACGUGCUACAAUGGACAAUACAAAGGGCAGCGAAACCGCGAGGUCAAGCAAAUCCCAUAAAGUUGUUCUCAGUUCGGAUUGUAGUCUGCAACUCGACUACAUGAAGCUGGAAUCGCUAGUAAUCGUAGAUCAGCAUGCUACGGUGAAUACGUUCCCGGGUCUUGUACACACCGCCCGUCACACCACGAGAGUUUGUAACACCCGAAGCCGGUGGAGUAACCUUUUAGGAGCUA